UACAGAGGUCCCGAGCGUUGUUCGGAUUCACUGGGCGUAAAGGGUGCGUAGGUGGCGAGGUAAGUCGGAUGUGAAAGCUCGGAGCUCAACUCCGAAAUGGCAUUGGAAACUACCUUGCUCGAGGGUUGGAGGGGGGACUGGAAUUCUCGGUGUAGCAGUGAAAUGCGCAGAUAUCGGGAGGAACACCAGUAGCGAAGGCGGCUCGCUGGGCCAUUCCUGACGCUGAGACGCGAAAGCUAGGGGAGCGAACAGG
rnacentral:rRNA from 1 species